CUUCCUUGAAUCGGAUAGAGAAGAUUAUUAAAAACAACAACUUAUCAACUAACAAUCUUAAUACAACUAAUGUCUAAAAGAGUAUGUUUGUUAUACUCAAUGUAUGGAAACAAAGGUCAUAUUAGUGCGGGAAAUACAUUGUAUUCGUUCAAUUUGAAAUCGCUACUGACAAAAGUAUUAAAGAAAGAAUUGGCAGCUUUCUCGCCACGGCCAUUGAUAGAGAUGACGGAA